rnacentral:rRNA from 1 species
UACGUAGGGGGCAAGCGUUGUCCGGAUUUAUUGGGCGUAAAGAGCGUGUAGGCGGCCAGGUAGGUCAGCUGUGAAAACUCGAGGCUCAACCUCGAGACGUCGGUUGAAACCACCUGGCUAGAGUCCGGAAGAGGAGAGUGGAAUUCCUGGUGUAGCGGUGAAAUGCGCAGAUAUCAGGAGGAACACCGGUGGCGAAGGCGGUUCUCUGGGCAUGUCCUGACGCUGAGGAGCGAAAGUGUGGGGAGCGAACAGG